ACAAAUUGUACGGGGAAAUUCCAUCUACACGGGCGAGGGACCACAUGGUGGCCAAUUGAUUGUUCUCCAGUGGCCGCGUUUCUGUGCCCACGAUCCAACGUUCCUUCGUCGUUGGCCAGCAAUUGAACGUGAGGUGAAGACACCGGAGCUCCCACCGAGGAAAAAAGAAGGAACCGACUCUCAAUAUUCCGGGCUCGUCAGGAGCGCCAAAAUCUGACGAAAAAACAGGACAAGCGGGAGGAAUCAGACCACGUGAAAGUGGAGAAGGACAACGAUCUUUGGAAGGACAUCGGCCAGUAUCCAGAUUUUCAAAUAACACCCCAGCAUUGGGGUGUUUUUGCCGAGCCAGUCUACGGUCAGGUUGCACGAUGUAAUCAUUCCUACCGGACGGGUAGAGGGCCGUCGGAUUAUUUCGUCUAAGCUGUCAGAUUAUUCCUACCGGACGGGUAGACGGCAAGUACCGGAACAAAGAGCAGGUGGUCGGAAGGGACCAGAAACAGCCCAGCCGGGUGAGAGCAGCCUCUUCGACGACGGGGGAGAUCCAGUGACUCGGAGGGACCCCAUCCAGUAGUUGGUCGCACUGGACGGCCAGAGGGGUCUCCAGCAGAGCACUCUCGAAGCAGGCGUGAGGUGGCAGUGGAAUGCGGCAGCAAAGCAGUUGCGGCGGUGAGAACUCCGCUGAGAGGAUCGAUCAGGGGGACGCCCCGAAGACCGUGAGUAAAACAGUAUGUGCUUUGUGAGAUAGGAAGAUAGAGAAAGAAGAAGGCAGAGAGUGAGGAGAAGAGGGAUGAAUAGGAGGUAGGAAGCAUGAGAUGAAUAUUGGUACGCCACCCUAAAUAUAUGUAUAAAACCUAGAUUUGUGAUGAUGUUCUAUUCAU